GACGAACGCUGGCGGCGUGCUUAACACAUGCAAGUCGAACGGUAUGGCCCUUCGGGGUACACGAGUGGCGAACGGGUGAGUAACACGUGGGUGAUCUGCCCUGCACUUCGGGAUAAGCCUGGGAAACUGGGUCUAAUACCGGAUAGGACCACUGCCUGCAUGGGUGGUGGUGGAAAGCUUUUGCGGUGUGGGAUGGGCCCGCGGCCUAUCAGCUUGUUGGUGGGGUGAUGGCCUACCAAGGCGACGACGGGUAGCCGGCCUGAGAGGGUGACCGGCCACACUGGGACGGAGAUACGGCCCAGACUCCUACGGGAGGCAGCAGGGGGGAAUAUUGCACAAUGGGCGCAAGCCUGAUGCAGCGACGCCGCGUGAGGGAUGACGGCCUUCGGGUUGUAAACCUCUUUCAGCACCGACGAAGCGCAAGUGACGGUAGGUGCAGAAGAAGGACCGGCCAACUACGUGCCAGCAGCCGCCGUAA
rnacentral:rRNA from 1 species